rnacentral:rRNA from 1 species
AACGAACGCUGGCGGCAUGCCUAACACAUGCAAGUCGAACGAGAUCUUCGGGUCUAGUGGCGCGCGGGUGCGUAACGCGUGGGAAUCUGCCCUUUGGUUCGGAAUAACAGUUGGAAACGACUGCUAAUACCGGAUGAUGACGAAAGUCCAAAGAUUUAUCGCCAGAGGAUGAGCCCGCGUAGGAUUAGCUAGUUGGUGUGGUAAAGGCGCACCAAGGCGACGAUCCUUAGCUGGUCUGAGAGGAUGAUCAGCCACACUGGGACUGAGACACGGCCCAGACUCCUACGGGGGGCAGCAGUGGGGAAUAUUGGACAAUGGGCGAAAGCCUGAUCCAACAAUGCCGCGUGAGUGAUGAAGGCCUUAGGGUUGUAAAGCUCUUUUACCCGGGAUGAUAAUGACAGUACCGGGAGAAUAAGCUCCGGCUAACUCCGUGCCAGCAGCCGCCGUAA